GUCAUUGAGAAAACAUAAACAUGGAGCCUCCUGCAGCCCUGUUUACACUCCUCCAGCCCUGGGGAAAGCAGAGCCCGUUGUGGAAGGGUUGGUUUUGUUCAAAGGCGCUUUUCUUUUUAAAAUGAAAAUUGCAAGAAGUACCCAUUACCAUGAAGACCCACAUCCCGACGACAGACAGACCACAAGAGUGUGGACAGGUGACACUGAGGCAGCUCUGCAGGGCUGUGGCACUGACUGCUGUCAACUUCUUCCUGUCCCUGGAGAAACAGGCUACAGACCCACAAGAAUUCCCUCAUCACAGUUAUGUCCCAAAUGUUUGUGUCUCCCCCAAAUUUGUAUGUUAAAACCCAGCACCAGAGCCUCGGUCUGAGGAGGUACCAGCAAAUAGGUCAGUGUAGCCAAGGACUUCUGUGACAGCUGACGGAUGUCCACUGACGCAGACUCCCUCAGUGAGCCCUGCUGGCCCGGCCACCCUGGCCUCUCUCCUGGGACCCUCCCCCUCCCUGGGACUCUUCAGCACUGCAGGCUGCGGGGCAGCACCCACGCUGGCACGCCGGUAUCUGGUAUCCUUUACUGUGUUUCACAGCUCGCCCCUGAGCACUCACACUGCGCUGGCAGUGGUUUGUCCCUUCUAGAGUACCAUUCAGCAGUUUCUAUCAAAAUGAAAUUGUGCGUACCCUCAGCCCAGCAGUUCUGCUUCCAGUUCUUUUUCCUGCAAAUAGAGAGCAGAGGUGUAUACCCACGAGGGUGCAAAUAGUUCCUGGGAGUAAGCUGAUUCCUGGGGGAAUAAGACGGCAG